AUCUCUUUCUCUCUUGCUCAUGACCUGCUUUUACAUGGUGCACUCUCUUGUUCUCUCUAUGGCGAUGUGGCCUUAGCAGUCACAUGGCCCAUGACGGUGCAACUCUACACACAGGCUCCAAUAAGAAGCCUGGAAUGAACCACAGCUAGAACCACAUGCUAAGCUAACUUUGAUAUGGAGCAGAAACUCUGGGCAGUGACCUUCAUCCUGGUCCUACUGAAGACAAGACUGGACAUUUUCCAUGUUCUGCUGAGGGUAUAGGCAGCGUUCCAGGGCAGCUGUCUUCCAUGUGGAAGCGCAGAACCCCAAGUGAAUUUUGUCACGUGGCACUUCCAGAGCAAGUCCUCCCAUGGCUGCUGCGGCAGGACUACCGCCCUACAGGGCACUGCUGACAGCUGAACUAGGAAAGG